rnacentral:rRNA from 1 species
UACGGGGGGGGCAAGCGUUGUUCGGAAUUACUGGGCGUAAAGGGUCUGUAGGUGGCUUGCUAAGUCAGACGUGAAAUCCCUCGGCUUAACCGGGGAACUGCGUCUGAUACUGGCGAGCUUGAGUGCAGGAGAGGAACGCGGAAUUCCAGGUGUAGCGGUGAAAUGCGUAGAUAUCUGGAGGACACCGGUGGCGAAGGCGGCGUUCUGGACUGCAACUGACACUGAGAGACGAAAGCCAGGGGAGCAAACGGG